GACGAACGCUGGCGGCGUGCUUAACACAUGCAAGUCGUACGGUAAGGCCCUUUCGGGGGUACACGAGUGGCGAACGGGUGAGUAACACGUGAGUAACCUGCCCACAACUUUGGGAUAACGCUAGGAAACUGGUGCUAAUACUGGAUAUGUGCCCCUGCUGCAUGGUGGGGGUUGGAAAGCUCCGGCGGUUGUGGAUGGACUCGCGGCCUAUCAGCUUGUUGGUGGGGUAGUGGCCUACCAAGGCGGCGACGGGUAGCCGGCCUGGUAGGGUGACCGGCCACAUUGGGACUGAGAUACGGCCCAGACUCCUACGGGAGGCAGCAGUGGGGAAUAUUGCACAAUGGGCGCAAGCCUGAUGCAGCAACGCCGCGUGCGGGAUGACGGCCUUCGGGUUGUAAACCGCUUUCAGCAGGGACGAAGCUUUUUGUGACGGUACCUGCAGAAGAAGCACCGGCUAACUACGUG
rnacentral:rRNA from 1 species